rnacentral:rRNA from 1 species
UACGUAGGGGGCUAGCGUUGUCCGGAAUCAUUGGGCGUAAAGAGCGCGUAGGCGGCCAGAUAAGUCCGGUGUGAAAGUCAAAGGCUCAACCUUUGAAUGCCGCUGGAAACUGUCUGGCUAGAGUCCGGGAGGGGCGAGUGGAAUUCCUGGUGUAGCGGUGAAAUGCGCAGAUAUCAGGAGGAACACCAAUGGCGAAGGCAGCUCGCUGGAGCGGUACUGACGCUGAGGCGCGAAAGCCAGGGGAGCGAACGGG